rnacentral:rRNA from 1 species
CCACCGAAUACAUUAGCAUGGGUAAUGGAAUAGGACCCUGUCCUCCUAUUUUCAGUUGGUUUUGGCAGCGCGAGGACUAGGGUAAUGAUUAAUAGGGAUAGUUGGGGGCAUUAAUAUUUAAUUGUCAGAGGUGAAAUUCUUGGAUUUAUGAAAGAUUAACUUCUGCGAAAGCAUCUGCCAAGGAUGUUUUCAUUAAUCAAGAACGAAAGUUAGGGGAUCGAAGACGAUCAGAUACCGUCGUAGUCUUAACCAUAAACGAUGCCGACCAGCGAUUAGGAGACGUUGAAUACAAAACACCACCAUCGGUGCGGUCGUCCUUGGCGUCGGUCUUUCGGGGCCGGCGCGGGGACGGCUUAGCCCGGUGGCACCGGUGAAUGACUCCC